GGAGUGUUUGUUGAAAUUAAAUCGAAUUGAAUGAUGUUUCUCCUUUUAGGCCUUGGCCUUACACAAUAUUUCAACGAGGCUUUGACCUGGUUUUGGGAGAGCAGCCCUCUGAUAAGAUAUUCAGAUUCACCUACACACUUGGGGAGGGCAUGUGGUUGCCCCUUAGCAAGAGCUUUGUGAUUCCACCAGCUGAACUGGCCAUCAAUCCAUCUGCAAAAUGUAAGACAGAUAUGACUGUGAUGGAGGACGCGGUGGAGGUCAGGUGAGUCUGGGUUCUAAGACCUGUGCUUCCUGUGGGAGGCUGAGUAAGAAACUCCACGAAGGUGCU
rnacentral:lncRNA from 1 species